UGUACUAAAUGUCAUUCUCCCUACUCACAGCAAUAUUCUCCAUUCACAUAUCAGAGUUUCCUGUAACAGGCCAAAAAGCUGCUAAGUUAAUGCUGACUGCAUCAGUGAUGCACAUCAUGGCUGGGGAUGCAGGAGAGAGCUGUGUGCUCCAAAAGGAAGAUUUCUCACAGGCUUGUUUUGCUUUAGCAGUGAUAAACCCUGCACACACAGCUGGAUACAACAGGAUUUCAGCCUCCUUUCUACAGCAUGUUUUAAAGCUGUAUAGGGGCCUCUAACAUUGAUGUGUCGAGCAGUGAGGAGGUGGAAUGGGGAUUGCAAGCUAAAAACCUGCUGAGGACUUAGCUCUGCUGGGAGCCACAGCUUCAGUGCUGGUGAGAAAUCUGGGGAGCAG